rnacentral:lncRNA from 1 species
CCAAAGUGCUGGGAUUACAGGCGUGAGCCACUGCACCCGGCCCAGGUAGCUUCUUGCUGGAGAUUCCUGGAUGGAUUCCAGUCUUCCCAAGAGGUAACAAAGGAGAGGUAACCAGUUGCCCGUGCAGUAGCUCAAGAAUACAGAAGAGAAACUGGCUUCACUCACUAUUCCAUCUUUUUCCAAGGUGGCAAACUCUAUGCCUCCUCCCCAGAGAAAAGCCUAACUGUAGGUUCUAAUGGACAAGAGCUCACUGUAGCUGGUCAGAAAGGCCUAUAUCCAGGACUACAAUAGUCAUUGCUCAGCUUCCUAAGUAGGGAAUACAACUAGGCCCCUUUGGGUCUUGGAUAGGCUAAGAGGACAGAUCUGAACAUGCCUGGGUCUAAGUGAGGUGUGGGAAAAUAGUGGCAGGGGGCAGCAUGGUCGUGCAGUAAAGGGCUAUAACUUUAUUUGUAUUUCCUCUUACACAAAACCAUCAAAACAAGAACAGAAAAAGGCUGAAAAUCCGUUCAAACCCCAUGUUCUCAGGGAUAUUCCAGGGAGUUCUUGAGGCUGAGUGCGUAGCUUCAAAUCCAGCACUAAUUCCUCACCCCCUGGCCUGAGGUCUUCAUAGAUUGGUGGCUUGAGCCCUGCAAUUAAUUAUAAUCCCUUGCCCACCUUGAUGUAAGGCAGGAAAGCAGAUUGAAAUGCUCCUCUCUGAUGGGCAAGGGGAAUCACAGCCCAUAGAUGUACUGCACCUUCUGUACUACAGGAGCAGAACCUGAAGCUGCUUCCAAGGCUCUGGACACUUGGCACGCAGGGCUAGAGGCCAAUGGUAUAUGAGCGGCCUGUGGGGUUAUGAAUAGCAGAACAGACUGGUGCUGUCACAGCCCACUCAUACCACACCUUCUUGGAAUUGCUGCAUCGCCAGAAACGCACACAGAUGGUUUGGCCUUCACGUACCGUUAUGGGCUGCUGUAAGAAGAAAGACAGGAAGGUUCAGGGUGAAGCUAUGAAUUAUACAUGGCAAUGUAUUAAGGCUCGGACCUCAUUGUACAGCUUGGAGGAAGAGAUGGGAGCCAGAAAGGAAGUGUACUCCCCGGGGAUGCUCACACCAUCAUCUGCACAGCAGGAGAGUCAAAUUAGUUCCAGAGGGAGGGAAAUGCAUACAGCUUUAUCCGCCGGUCGGCCUGCUUGGCUGCCCGCAGGGAAGCGUUCACCAGGGGUCCCCGUCCUGCUCCCAGCACCAUCAGUACCCUAAGAAAGAAAGGGAAGAGUCAAGCAGACUUGGCAUAUACAGAUAUAGGUUUCUAGGGCUACUACUGGCAUUUACCUUUUUGUUCUCAAGAUUCCCAACUUCACUGAAAUUGCUCCCCAGAAACCAAAGAAAAAGAGUCAGCCUCACAGGAAAAAACGAUCAUACACAGGAGGUAAGAGAAGCCACACCCAUCCCAGGAUUCUCAUGGACUCACCCACUGCAAUCCUCUUACUAUAGUCACACAAAGUCCGGAAGUUGUGCCACCUGUUCAGUCAAAUACAGAAAAGUACAGUAAACUAGAUAUGGCCGACCAAUCACCACAGCUCAAGGAGACCUCCCUACAGGUUGCACCCUGUACUUCCCCUCACCCUAUCCCUUGCACCCUGGUACAGCAGCAAAGGGAGACAUACCACAUCCACGUUUUCUCCUCCCCACUGUACUCCUCUGUGUGUGUAGUUGGUGCAUUCUCAAUUAUAUCAUCUCUCAGGUCCUCUGGUGCCACCAAGGGUACCCGCAUCCAGAACUGCACAUGAACAGUCACCCUUUUAGAACUCUCUUUUGAACUCAUUGGGUCCAGAAAGUUUCCCUCAAUAAAAAAAACUUCAUCCAGACCUCGUUAAUCCCUUUAUAUGC